rnacentral:rRNA from 1 species
CCCGCACAGCGGCGGAGCAUGCGGAUUAAUUCGAUGCAACGCGAAGAACCUUACCAAGGCUUGACAUACACCGGAAACGGCCAGAGAUGGUCGCCCCCUUGUGGUCGGUGUACAUGGUGGUGCAUGGUUGUCGUCAGCUCGUUCGUGAGAUGUUGGGUUAAGUCCCGCAACGAGCGCAACCCUCGUUCUAUGUUGCCAGCGGGUCAUGCCGGGGACUCAUAGGAGACUGCCGGGGUCAACUCGGAGGAAGGUGGGGAUGACGUCAAAUCAUCAUGCCCCUUAUGUCUUGGGCUUCACGCAUGCUACAAUGGCCGGUACAAAGGGCUGCGAUACCGUAAUGGUGGAG